AGGCUCCAGCACGUUUCGGGGGAGGCGCCUGCAGGACCCAACGUACUCAAUGAGCUUCCAGCGCGAUGUCCGAUCGCUCGGGGCCGACUGCCAAGGGGAAGGAUGGAAAGAAGUAUUCCUCGCUCAACCUGUUUGAUACAUACAAGGGCAAGUCCUUAGAGAUCCAGAAACCCGCUGUUGCUCCUCGACAUGGCUUACAGAGUCUUGGGAAAGUUGCCAUCGCCCGGCGCAUGCCACCCCCAGCCAAUCUGCCGAGUCUGAAAGCCGAAAACAAAGGCAAUGACCCCAAUGUCUCGCUAGUGCCGAAAGACGGGACAGGAUGGGCAAGCAAACAGGAGCAGCCCGACCCCAAGAGUUCCGAUGCCUCAACUGCUCAGCCGCCGGAAUCGCAGCCACUGCCGGCUUCACAGACGCCUGCCUCCAGCCAGCCGAAACGCCCCCCAGCAGUCCCCGAGAACGCCCCUUCGGUUCCAAGCGGGGUAAAGUCUUGGGCACAAGCCAGUGUCACCCAUGGAGCGCACGGGGAUGGUGGAAGGGCAUCAAACCUACUGUCACGAUUCUCUCGAGAGGAAUUUCCGACCCUGCAGGCGGCUGGCGACCAGGACAAGGCUGCCAAGGAAAGGGAGUCUGCCGAACAGUCGUCUGGGCCCGGACCAAGCCUCCGCCCCCAAAAUUCCACAACUUGGAGGGAUGGAGGUGGGCGGGGCCCUGAUGAGCUGGAGGGCCCGGACUCCAAACUCCAUCAUGGUCACGACCCCCGGGGGGGGCUCCAGCCCUCCGGCCCUCCCCAGUUCCCUUCCUACCGCGGGAUGAUGCCGCCCUUUAUGUACCCCCCAUAUCUCCCGUUCCCUCCUUAUGGACCACAGGGGCCUUACCGAUACCCUACUCCUGAUGGGCCCAGCCGAUUCCCCCGGCUGGCUGGCCCCCGGGGCUCAGGUCCCCCCAUGCGCCUGGCAGAGCCUGUGAGCCGACCCUCCAUCCUCAAGGAGGAUAACCUCAAGGAAUUUGACCAGCUGGAUCAGGAGAAUGAUGACGGUUGGGCGGGGGCCCAUGAGGAGGUAGACUACACAGAAAAGCUCAAGUUCAGCGAUGAGGAGGAUGGUCGUGACUCUGAUGAAGAGGGAGCAGAGGGCCACAAGGAGUCUCGUCCUUCCAGUGAGGAUCGGCCCCCUGACACAGAAAACAAAAAGGGCUGUUCCUCUGGCAGUGAGCCACCCCCUCCCAAGGCAGCCUGGACAGAGAACUCCCGGCCUCCUGAGGCAGAGCCUGGGCCUCCUGCCCCUAAGCCUCCCCCACCCCCACCUCAUAGAGGCCCCACCGGGAAUUGGGGACCCCCUGGAGACUAUCCAGAUCGUGGGGGCCCACCCUGUAAGCCACCAGCACCUGAAGAUGAGGAUGAAGCUUGGCGGCAGCGUCGGAAGCAGUCAUCAUCAGAGAUUUCUCUAGCAGUAGAGCGGGCACGAAGGCGCCGAGAAGAAGAGGAACGGCGGAUGCAGGAGGAGCGACGGGCAGCCUGUGCAGAGAAGCUCAAGCGACUGGAUGAGAAGUUUGGGGCACCUGACAAACGACUCAAAGCAGAGCCUUCUGCCCCCCCUGCUGCUCCCCCUACCCCAGCUCCACCCCCUGCCACCUCCAAAGAACCCCCAGCACCUCCUGCACCACCUCCAGUGCUAGUCCCACCUGCUGAGAAGGAGCCUGAAGAGCCAGCUCUGGUCCCUGCCCCUGUCCAGCCUGCCCCUGCCCCUGUCUUGGCUCCAGCUCCCACCCUGGUGAGCGGGGGCAGCAGUAGCAGUACUAGCAGCAGCAGCUUUGAUGCUAGCCCAGUGGAGCCUCCACAACCACCAAAGGAGGGCCCUGAGCCACCAGAAGAAGUACCCCCACCUGCCACACCCCCAGCUCCCAAGGUGGUAGAACCCAAAGUUGAUGGAGCUGGGCCAACACGACAGCCCCCCAACCAGGGGCUGGGCUAUCCCAAAUACCAGAAGUCGCUGCCUCCCCGAUUCCAAAGACAGCAACAAGAGCAGCUUUUGAAGCAGCAACAGCAACAACAGUGGCAGCAGCACCAACAGGGUCCCACCCCUCCUGCUCCAGUGCCCCCAUCACCUCCACAGCCUGUGGCCAUGGGUGCUGUGCCACCCCCCCAGGCUCCCCCACCACCACCUAAGGCCCUAUACCCUGGCUCACUGGGUCGGCCACCACCAAUGCCCCCAAUGAACUUUGACCCUCGUUGGAUGAUGAUCCCACCCUACAUGGAUCCCAGGCUGCUUCAAGGGAGACCCCCCCUGGAUUUUUAUCCUCCGGGUGUGCAUCCCUCUGGUCUAGUUCCUCGGGAGCGCUCAGAUAGUGGGGGCUCAGGUUCAGAGCCUUUUGAUCGGCACCCACCUCCCCUCCUAAGGGAACGUGGCACCCCACCAGUGGACCCAAAGCUAGCUUGGGCAGGAGAUGUCUUUGCCACUGCACCUGCUGACAACCGACCACUCACCUCCCCACUUCGACAGGCCCCAGAAGAGGAUGAUAAAGGCAUACGGAGUGAGACCCCUCCAGCCCCUCCCCCCCCACCCUACCUAGCAACUUAUCCAGGCUUUCCUGAGAAUGGAGCCCCUGGUCCCCCACUUUCCCGGUUUCCUCUGGAGGAAUCUGGCCCCCCAGGCCCUCGUCCGAUCCCCUGGCCUACUGGAAGUGAUGAAUCGGCCAAAUUGUCAAUCCCACCCAAGAAGGAACCCCCUAAAGAAGAGUCCCAACAGCUAGGGGGACCAGAAACUGGACGCAAACCCCCCCGGAGUGGUGGGGGCGGGGGCCAAGGCCCACCACCACCACGUCGUGAGAGCCGAACAGAGACCAGAUGGGGUCCCCGCCCAGGUAGCAGCCGCCGUGGUGGACCACCUGAAGAACCAGGAGCACCCCCUCGUCGUGCUGGGCCUAUCAAAAAACCCCCACCCCCUACAAAGGCAGAAGAACUGCCUCCCAAGCCUCUUGAGCCAAGUGAUGAAACCUCUAAGGUCUCAAAACCAGAUGCUCUCAAGGUCUCCAAAGGGAAAACGGGAGGCCCCAAAGAUGCCCCUCCAGUUGGGGCCCUCUCCCCUGCACCUCGGCUUCGUCGGGAUUACUCAUAUGAGCGUGUAGGGCCAACUUCCUGCCGAGGCAGGGGCCGUGGAGAGUACUUUGCCCGGGGUAGAGGUUUCAGGGGGACUUAUGGGGGAAGGGGCAGGGGUGCUCGAAGCCGGGAGUUCCGUAGCUACCGGGAAUUCCGAGGAGAUGAUGGGCGUAGCAGUGGGACUGGAGGGCCAUCCCAUCCCCCUCCUCCCCGAGGUCGAACAGCCAGUGAGACUAGGAGUGAGGGUUCAGAGUACGAGGAAAUCCCUAAGCGGCGCCGGCAGCGGGGCUCAGAGACAGGCAGUGAGACACAUGAGAGUGACCUAGCCCCCUCCGACAAGGAAGCUCCUCCAGCCAAGGAGGGGGCACCACCUCAAGUACCUGUAGCUCCCCCACAACCAGGAGCCCCACCAUCACCAGCUCCAGCUCGAUUCCCUGCUACCCGGGGUGGUCGUGUUUUCACUCCUCGAGGUGUUCCAUCACGAAGGGGUCGAGGGGGUGGUCGACCUCCUCCCCCUGCUGGUCCAGGUUGGAGCCCUCCAGCCAAGUCCCUGGCACCCAAGAAGCCUCCACCUGGCCCACUGCCGCCAGGCAAGGAAUCCUCAAAGGAGAAGUUGGUUCCAGGGCCUCUGCCACCCCAGGCUCGAGGCGCUGGUGGUGGCAUAGAAGAUGGGGAGCGUCCCCGGAGGAGGAGGCAUGGACGGGCACAACAACAGGACAAGCCACCUCGAUUCCGGAGGCUAAAGCAAGAGAGGGAGAAUGCAGCAAGGGGGGCUGAGGGAAAGGCUCCACCUUUGCCCCUUACAACCACACCACCUGGUCCUGAGGAAGUACCAACAGCAGCAGUGGUGCCCCCACCUCCACGAAGGGCAGCUGCCAAAUCACCAGACCUGUCAAACCAGAACUCAGACCAGGCUAACGAAGAGUGGGAGACAGCAUCAGAGAGCAGUGAUUUUGCCAGCGAGCGUCGGGGAGACAAAGAGGCACCCCCACCUACCCUACUAGCCCCCAAGGUGGUGGGCACCCCUGGCAGUGGAGGUGGAGGGGUUGGGGCAAAUCCUGGGGUCUCCUCCAUGCCCCGAGGUGAGCUGAGCCAGAGAGCCAAAGACCUGAGCAAGCGGAGUUUCUCUAGUCAGCGACCUGGCAUGGAACGACAGAAUCGGCGCCCAGGACCAGGGGGAAAGACAGGUGGUGGCGGAGGCAGCGGGGUCCCUGGGGGGAGGGCUGGCCCUGGGCGAGGGGACAAAAGGAGCUGGCCCUCACCCAAGAACCGCAGCCGACCCCCAGAGGAGCGUCCCCCGGGACUUCCCCUGCCUCCCCCACCCCCCAGCAGCUCUGCCGUCUUCCGCCUGGACAGAGUCAUCCACAGCGACCCAGCUGGUAUCCAGCAGGCUUUGGCCCAACUCAGCAGCCGACAGGGGGGUGCAGCUGCCCCAGGGGGCCCCCCGAGGCCCAAGCCAGGGGCCCCCCCAGCCCCUCAGGGCCCCUCUCCCCGGCCCCCAGCACGAUUCGAGCCCCCAAGGGCCAGCAGCAACGGUGUAGGUGGCACCGAGCCCCACUUUGCGGAGCCAGGGCCAUUGGUGAGGGGGGUGAGUGGGACCUCCCGGGACUCUACUGGGGUUAAUCCCUUCCCCCCCAAACGUCGUGAUCGGCCUCCUCGAAAGCCGGAGCUGCUACAGGAGGAGUCUUUGCCUCCUCCUCAUAGCCCUGGAUUCCUAGGUCCCAAGCCAGAGGGACCCAAUCCACGAGGAGAGCCCAGAGAUGCAGGCACAGAGGCCCUUGCUCCCCAUAUCUGGAAUCGUCUGCAUACUACCGCCAGCCGAAAGAGUUAUCGACCUGGCUCAGUGGAGCCCUGGAUGGAGCCCCUCAGCCCUUUUGAAGAUGUGGCUGGCACAGAGAUGAGCCAGUCUGACAGUGGGGUGGAUCUGAGUGGCGACUCUCAGGUUUCAUCAGGCCCCUGCAGCCAGCGAAGUUCCCCUGAUGGGGGACUAAAGGGGACAGGGGAGGGUGCACCCAAGCGGCCUGGAGGCCCCUCACCCCUGAGCACUGCCCCUGGUGAGGGUCCACCUGGCUCUGAACCCUCCGAUCCUCCAAGGAGACGUCCUCCUGCCUCCCGUGAUGGGGACAAGAAGGAGCCACCUCUGCCCCCUGGCCCCAUAGGCACAGAACGAUCCCAGCGAGCAGAUCGAGGACCGGAGCCUGGUCCCCUUCGGCCCUCUCACCGACCUGGUCCCCCUAUCCAAUUUGGAACCAGUGACAAGGACUCUGACCUCCGCCUGGUGGUGGGAGACAGCUUAAAGCCAGAGAAGGAGUUGCCACAAUCUGGGCCUGAGGUGCCUGCUCCAGUACCCCGAGACUGGGAAUUGCUCCCCUCUGGUCCCACUUCAGCUGAGCCAACAUCCAAAAAUCUGGGCCCCAGCCAUUGUGGCCCAGAUCCCAACCCCUCGGGUCCCCGCCUAUACCCUGAGGUCUUCUACAGCAGCCCAGGGCCUCCAGGCACCCAGGUCCCAGGGGGAACAGUGGACUCUCAGCUGCACCCCACCAAUGGUGGAUUCCGCCCAGGGACCCCUUCGCUGCACCCCUAUAGGUCACAGCCCCUCUAUUUACCCCCUGGCCCAGCCCCUGCUUCAGCAUUGCUUUCGGGAGUAGCCCUUAAGGGCCAGUUCCUGGAUUUCUCAGCAUUGCAGGCAGCAGAGCUGGGGAAGCUGCCAGCUGGGGGUGUCCUCUAUCCCCCACCUUCCUUCCUCUACCCACCAGCCUUCUGCCCCAGUCCCCUGCCUGACCCCCCUUUGCUGCAGGUGCGUCAGGACCUGCCAUCCCCUUCAGAUUUCUACUCUGCUCCUCUGCAGCCUGGUGGCCAAAAUGGCUUCCUGCCCCCGGCUGCCCCCACCCAGCAGAUGCUGCUGCCAGUAGUGGAAUCCCAGCUACCUGUGGUGAACUUCAGCUCCCUGCCUCCAGCUCCACCUCCUGCCCCACCUCCACUUUCCCUGCUGCCUGUGGGCCCUGCCCUACAGCCCCCCAGUCUGGCUGUCCGGCCCCCACCUGCUCCGGCAGCCCGGGUGCUACCCUCACCCGCCCGGCCCUUCCCUCCCAGCUUGGGGAGAGCAGAGCUGCACCCAAUGGAACUAAAGCCGUUCCAGGAUUAUCGAAAACUGAGCAACCUCGGGGGACCUGGGGCUCGAACCCCCCCAGCUGGAAGGCCCUUCUCUGGUCUCAGCUCCCGACUCAAGGCCCCACCUACUGGAUACAGUGGUGUUGGUGUCUUCCGCACCCAGCGCUUCGACCUCUACCAGCAGUUUGGAAACUGGCCUACCCUCAAUGAUCCCCAAGUCUGUUUCUCACUCUCCCAGUUUGACUCCAUGUGUACCUGCCCUCAGGCCUCCCCACCGGAUGCCCUGCGCUGGAUGCCGAAGCCCUGGGAGCGGGCAGGGCCACCCUCUCGUGAGGGUCCACCCCGGCGGGCAGAGGAGUCAGGGCCCCGUGGGGACAAGGAUCCUGGGUUGCCCCCGCCCCGCUGAGGGAGCUGCCCCCCCCUGGGGCCUGUACAUAGAUAUAAAUAUAUAAGGGGGAAGGGGGCGGGUGGGGAGGGGUUGUGGGGCUGGGGCCUCCCUCCCCCUCCCCCCUCUUCCCCUGGGCCCCUAUCCCUGGGGCCGUUUGUUUAAAAAAGAAUAAAAGGAUUUAAAAAAAAAUGUCCAAGUUGUUUAGAGAAUGAAUGUGAGGACAGAUAUAUUCCUCCUGAAUGGCCAUCAGAAGGAAACGACAGAAUUCAUCCUGCUUCAAGCUUUUACCCCAACUCCCACCCCAAAAAUGAGCCGGGCCAUCAGGGGUGAGGGGUGGUGGUAGACUGCAAUCAGAUUGUAUAUGGCAAUAUCGUUCACCAGAGGCAUCCAAAAUAAUGACGGUGAUCCGGCCCAUCCCAGCUUAUUUUCCCCUUGCUGACCUGAUCUAAUGGUCUCUUCCACUUUGAGCCCACCCUCUUUUCCAAAUGAACUUCCUGCCCUAGACCAUUCCAUUUCAGCUCUAGGAAAGGGAAGGACUGUCCCUAAUGAAACUUUCCGCUAAAGAAUUGCUAUUCUGUUUUGAGAGG